CUAACAUUCACUUUUUGUGUUUUCUCUUGUAGAGUGGGUUUUCUUGGAUACUGCACCUAUUGCUUAGUUUGCAUUUUUUUUUUUCAACAUAGCAGUGUUAUGGGAUGACAUCUUUGGCACAGAUCAGUGUGUAAAAUAUCUGUCCUAUUAGAUUUUCCGAUUUUAUUGUAAGCACUGUUGUUGUGAAGUGGAAGCACUUACAGCCCAGCUACAAUGUGGUAGAUAAUGCAUACUUACAAAAAGUGCCACUGGAUGCUGUUACAUGUAAUGCAGGGCUGAGUAACCUAUGCAGAGCAUUAAAUGCUUCUAGAACCAAACAUGCUGGAGAGAUAUGAGGAUCUCCCCUGGAGCUGGCUUGACAGAGGUUCAUCCAGGAUUUCUUCUGAUAUCUGAUAGUGUCACAUUGCAGCAGGUGGUGAAUGGC